rnacentral:rRNA from 1 species
UACGUAGGGGGCAAGCGUUGUCCGGAAUCAUUGGGCGUAAAGCGCGUGUAGGCGGCUCGGUAAGUCUGCUGUGAAAGUCCAGGGCUCAACCCUGGGAUGCCGGUGGAUACUGUCGAGCUCGAGUCCGGAAGAGGCGAGUGGAAUUCCUGGUGUAGCGGUGAAAUGCGCAGAUAUCGGGAGGAACACCAGUGGCGAAGGCGGCACUCUGGGCCGGUACUGACGCUGAGGAGCGAAAGCGUCGGGGAGGCGAACAGG